GUAUUGUAUGAAAGGAGAAAAGGUUAGCAUUCGUGGCCAUGCAGGGAUUUACACCAAUGUCUGCUCCUCUUGAACGAUGCUACUAUGAAAGCUAUGUGGCUGUGUUCAGCCGCACAAAUGGUAUUGAUAUUUUUUU
rnacentral:ncRNA from 1 species